rnacentral:tRNA from 1 species
GCGUAUAGCUCAGUUGGCUAGAGCAUCAGUCUUACAAACUGAGGGUCCUUGGUUCAAGUCCAAGUACG